AUUGAAUCGGCAUGUUUAGGUAUUUGUUUCUUUAUUCUGUAUGUUUUGUGUUUUUGUUGCUUAUUAGGUAAAAGAAAAUAGCUCAUUCAGGGUAGUCUAGAAUAAGCAAUUGUAUCCCAUGUAAAUAUUGGUUUUGAGGGAGGCCCGUGAGGAAAACUCUCUCGACGUAAGUUAGCAGGAUUUUCCAUCGUACACUAAUUAGUGUAUUCACCAAGGAAUGGCGGCAGAAUUCUGACAAGAGUGCAAAUUCAAUGGUAGAUUAGUCACUCCUAACAUAGGACAGGAUCAAAGGUCUUCUGCUAUCACUUUUGGAAGUUUUCUACCUGUUUAUUUUCAGUCAAUUAAGGAGGAGGCUAAAGAUUAUAUGUCUGACACCGUCUACCAACCUUCAAUCAAACUUAAACCUUAUGGUGGAGGAAUAUCUAAAUCACAAUCAGCGAUGCAUAAGCUUUAAUUCUAAUAUUGGGGGAUCAUCUCGUGCUACACCAAUGGAAACAAGGAAGAACCUGGAAAAUUGAGUUGGUCAAGAAGGUAUUAAUGAAGUAGAUGAAGAAAUAAUGGGACAAUGGAAUGUGUAUAGCAUAUGACACAAGAGAGAGUAGCAGUCUGGACCAAAUGUGAUGCCUAGAAACUAUGUCCAAGACUAGUUUGUCAUUUAUAAUUAGUUCAGGGACUUUGAAGGUAAUUGUGAGAGAAAAGAUUAUUAAAAGGCUUAAUGCUGAAUUUUUAUUCAUUAUUGAAUAAUUUUGUAUUAUUUGGGAUUGGAGAGAGGCGGCUUACACCAAGGGAAAAAUGUUAUUCAUCUUCUCCACCAAGAUCGUUCUAGUUUUUGGUAUGAUGAAUAUUUCUAUUGUGAUUUCCGUUUUA